UAACCUGCCUGGUAGCGGGGGGUAACUAUUGGAAACGAUAGCUAAUACCGCAUAAGAGUAGAUGUUGCAUGACAUUUGCUUAAAAGGUGCAAUUGCAUCACUACCAGAUGGACCUGCGUUGUAUUAGCUAGUUGGUGGGGUAACGGCUCACCAAGGCGACGAUACAUAGCCGACCUGAGAGGGUGAUCGGCCACACUGAGACUGAGACACGGCCAG
rnacentral:rRNA from 1 species